GCCCUCUCAGGGUUGCACCUGGAGAGUUUCCAGUCCUCUACCAGUCUUAGUUAUGGGAAGGAGAGUCAUGCAGAGGCCUGCCCACUCCAUUCCUAGCUUGGGCAGUGGCUAGCGAGUGGAAGGCGGUCUGCUACAAGU